rnacentral:rRNA from 1 species
UACGUAGGGGGCAAGCGUUGUCCGGAAUUAUUGGGCGUAAAGAGCGUGUAGGCGGCCAGAUAAGUCCGCUGUGAAAUCUCGAGGCUCAACUUCGAGCUGUCGGUGGAAACUAUCUGGCUAGGGUCCGGAAGAGGAGAAUGGAAUUCCUGGUGUAGCGGUGAAAUGCGCAGAUAUCAGGAAGAACACCCGUGGCGAAGGCGGUUCUCUGGGACGGUACUGACGCUGAGACGCGAAAGCGUGGGGAGCGAACAGG